GAGUGUGAGGGUGAUCCAUCUGUCACAUCUGCCACCCCUUGGUUGCCAAGUUUGAUUUCAGCUGAUCUGGUUGGGUAGGUAGGUGUCCCUCCCUCAAUCCCUCCUUCAUGUACUUCCCUCCCCCCCCCAAGCUGCUAUGGUUGAAGCAGAGGACCUUUGCUGAUUACAUAGACCCAUCUUCUAUUAGAGGAUGUGAGUAUCUGUAUCCUCCUGCUUGAACCUCCAAACAAACUUUCAAAACUGGGCAAUAGACUUCAUCACGAAGUAAAUUUAUUUGUCAAAACAAACAGGUAUUGAACAUGCAGCUCAAAAGUUACCU
rnacentral:snRNA from 1 species